rnacentral:rRNA from 1 species
UACGGAGGGUGCGAGCGUUGUCCGGAAUCACUGGGCGUAAAGGGCGCGUAGGCGGCAAUUCAAGUCAGUUGUGAAAUCUCCGAGCUUAACUCGGAACGGUCAACUGAUACUGUUUUGCUAGAGUACAGAAGGGGCAAUCGGAAUUCUUGGUGUAGCGGUGAAAUGCGUAGAUAUCAAGAGGAACACCUGAGGUGAAGACGGGUUGCUGGGCUGAUACUGACGCUGAGGCGCGAAAGCUAGGGUAGCAAACGGG